AGCCCUGUAGUGUAGUUUCAUGCAGGAUUGCAAAUCCUGAGACGUAGGCUUCUCCCUGCCGGGGCUU
rnacentral:tRNA from 1 species